rnacentral:lncRNA from 1 species
UAAUAGGAAAUAGAACUACUCAUUCUGCAAGAAGAGUCUUUAAAUUGCAGAUGCCUGGUGGCACUCACUUCCAGAACCCAAUGGCUAGUUAUUUCGAAAAGACCAAGGCAGCGAAUGUAUUGGAGACAGUUGUUCCAGUCUCUCCAUUCCUCUAUCAGGAAAGAUCAAGAAGGAAGAAGCUCAAGGUCUUCUCUUGCUUUGAGAAAAGCUAAAUUGUGGAGUCUGAAGGGGGACCUCCAUUUCUUGCUUAAAAUCUGAACACCCCUGCCCCUAACACAUGCAAACCUGGGCACAGUGAUGUGCACCUGUAGUCCCAGUUACUCUGGGGACUUGGGCAAGGGAAUCACUUGAGCCCAGGAAUUUGAGUCUGUAGUGGCUAUUCAUAGCCAUAAAUAGCCU